GUGAUUCUUGUGUAUUGUGAUUGAUGAUUGAAAGGUGUGAUUGAUGAUUGAAAAGUAAAUUUUGAAUGACAAAGUGAUGAAAUAAUGUGAGAUGUGCUAAGUAAAUUGUAUUUGGCUACUAUAUGUUGUCUUGUUUCUCUCUAGUAGUUAGGAAUGUGAUAACUCACUCCCGGUUUGCUGUUUGUGUUUGGAUCAUGUGAUGAUCUUGAACUUUGUGUUCGGGGGAGCAGAUGGAUAGGUGGAUGACUAUGAAGAACCUCAUGCUAGAGGACACGGGAAUACAACAUUCUGAUAGGAUGUGACAUUAGGAUAUAUGUUCUAUAUUAAUUGUAUGAAGCUUUGACGGCCUUGUUUGAGCCAAGAUGACUUUAUUAUUUAUUUGGACAAGUUUGAAUAUG
rnacentral:lncRNA from 1 species